ensembl:lncRNA
UUUUUUUUUCCUCACAAUAGUGAUUUUAUUAAAUUAGUUGCUUUAUAAAACAUUGCAGAUGUCAUAAUUGUUAACAUAACAAUUUACCAAACUGUAGUUAACUGGUGCAGUUUGCUGAGCAUGGUUUAUAAAGAAAAGGAAAUGCCAAAACCCUGUUAAAAGUUUUUCCAUUGCAGCCUAGAAGAACAAGAUUUGUUUCUCAGACACUUGAAUCAGGCAAACAGAAACAGAGUUCCCUCCCCCAUUUGAAGUGCUCCAUCAAAAGAAACAGGCUGAUAAGUAACUAGACAGUCAAUGCACUGGUGAGUCCACACUUGCACUGUAAUAAUGGAGAAGUUUACCUUCUUCAGCUUCAAAGUCGGAGGGUUUUGGUCAUUAAAAUCUUAAGUAUCAAACUAGUACUUUUCAGCCACAGUAUCUUCACUCUGAGAUAAACAUUCUUCUUCACAACAAGUUUUUAAUAUCCUCACCUCAAUUUUAAGACAAAGCAAUUUUAAUACUAGGUGCAUCCCACAUGGCCUUGCUGCAAACUGCUUUUCUUGACAAGUUAUGAAGUAGUUCAAGGAGGUAUGGUUAAGGCUGUAUUACUGAAUGGUGCUGGUAAAUACUACACUUUUUUUUUGUCAUGUUGCAACCUUUGUUUCCAAUUUAGUGACUGCUGCUAUGGAAUCGGAUAGCAACAAUGACAACAUUAUUAGGUUUGUUUUGUUUUUAAACUAUGAUUUAGUAGCAACUGAGGUUCCCAAUUUUAACCCCUUGGCAACAAGAUCCAAGUUCCCUCAUUUGCACAUUAGCACCUGAGUGUCAAGGGGUUAAAUAACCAGCACAAAGAUACUGCACUUCUGAUUGUAGCAUUUGGCAGAACUGAAAGGAAAGGAGGUUGUGCUACAUGUUGAAGGGAUUGUGGGCAACAGAAAGGAGACACCAGAAGAUAAAAUGUCACAUGAAGUCUUCAUAGUCUUGUACAUAUCCUCCAUCAUAUCCACCAUAGUCUGCCAGAUCGUCUUUCAUGGUGGCCUUUAAUCCCCCUCCAGGUACCACACCUUUCUUCUUCUUUUUGGC